UGCCAGACUCCUACGGGAGGCAGCAGUGGGGAAUAUUGCACAAUGGGGGAAACCCUGAUGCAGCGACGCCGCGUGAGCGAUGAAGUAUUUCGGUAUGUAAAGCUCUAUCAGCAGGGAAGAAGAUGACGGUACCUGACUAAGAAGCCCUGGCUAACUACGUGCCAGCAGCCGCGGUAAUACGUAGGGGGCAAGCGUUAUCCGGAUUUACUGGGUGUAAAGGGAGCGUAGACGGCGAUGCAAGCCAGAUGUGAAAGCCCGGGGCUCAACCCCGGGACUGCAUUUGGAACUGUGUGGCUGGAGUGUCGGAGAGGCAGGCGGAAUUCCUAGUGUAGCGGUGAAAUGCGUAGAUAUACGGAGGAACACCAGUGGCGAAGGCGGAUUGCUGGACAGUAACUGACGCUGAGGCGCGAAAGCGUGGGGAGCAAACAGGAUUAGAUACCCUAGUAC
rnacentral:rRNA from 1 species